UGGGGGAUAUUGCACAAUGGGCGAAAGCCUGAUGCAGCGACGCCGCGUGGGGGAUGAAGGCCUUCGGGUUGUAAACUUCUUUUGCUCUGAACAAGGCAUGCUAAUGGGUGUGUUGAGUGUAGGGGUUGAUUAGCGCCGGCUAACUACGUGCCAGCAGCCGCGGUAAUACGUAGGGCGCGAGCGUUGUCCGGAAUUAUUGGGCGUAAAGGGCUUGUAGGUGGCUGGUUGCGUCUGUCGUGAAAGCUCAUGGCUUAACUGUGGGUUUGCGGUGGGUGCGGGCUGGCUUGAGUGCGGGAGGAGAGGCUGACAUUCCUGGUGUAGCGAUGGAAUGCGCAGAUAUCAGGAGGAAUACCGGUGGCGAAGGCGGGUCUCUGGGCUGUUACUGACACUGAGUAGCGAAAGAAUGGGGAGCGAACAGG
rnacentral:rRNA from 1 species